rnacentral:rRNA from 1 species
UACAGAGGUCCCAAGCGUUGUUCGGAUUCACUGGGCGUAGAGGGUGCGUAGGCGGUCGGGUAAGUUUGAUGUGAAAUCUCCGGGCUUAACCCGGAAACUGCAUUGAAUACUAUUCGGCUUGAGGUCUGGAGGGGGGACUGGAAUUCUCGGUGUAGCAGUGAAAUGCGUAGAUAUCGAGAGGAACACCAGUGGCGAAGGCGAGUCCCUGGACAACACCUGACACUGAGGCACGAAAGCUAGGGGAGCAAACAGG